CGAGCCCCCCCUCCCCCCCCAAGCAGAGAGACCCCAGCAGCAGCAGCAGCUGAUGAUGAAGAGAGAGGCUGUGGCAGAGGGGGGGCACCUUUUAUUUCUAUUUUUAAAGGGACAGGACACUAAUUUUACCCCACUUCAACCUUGAAUUGAGGGGGGUGGGGGCGAAGGUGGCUGAGUUCCUUCCCCCACCCUCCAGCCCUGAGCCCUGAGAGGGAGAUUGAGCCUGAGAGAGGAGAAGGAGUUUCUUCUUCUUCGAAAACCCUCGUCUACGACUCCUACCCCCUCACCCAUCCACUCGCCUCCCUCCCGAGCCCCCUCCACCCUCCUUCUCUUUGGCCGUGAGAGGAAGAGAGAAAGAGACCAAAAGCCUCUUAGCAACACAGACCUUUUGCUGCUUCUGCUGCUGCUGCUGCUGCUGCUGUUGCUGCUGCUGCUGCUGCUGUUGCUGCUGUUGCUGCUGCUGCUGCUGCUGCUGUUGCUGUUGCUGCUGUUGCUGUUGCUGCUGCUGCUGUUGCUUGGCCCUGGCUGGAGACAUCUCACUACACCCAGGAGCAGCCACUUCCCCAGCUCUCCUCCUUCUCCUCCUCCUCCUCCUCCACUCCCCCCCUUUAUUACCCUUUGUGUCAUCCUCCACAGCUCCAGGGAAGGCACUCAAAAGUGGGGGGCAGGAAAGAUGAACAUUGGAGGCGACAAUUAAUACCUGUGUGAAGGAUAUAUUGAAGGCUUUGUGGUUUACAGACAAGAUCUGUAGAAAUUAGACACUCAAGGUCCAGGUAAAUAAAUACCAGAAACCAAGAGCACAGAAGACUUUUCUUCAUCAGUCCACAACCCUAACACUCUAGUAAUUUCAUCAAACACAGAGGAAUGAGCACCUUCGCAGAUGGCCACAGAGGAUGUCAACCAUUUU